UGAAGCGGACACAGUAUGUACCGGUCUACGCAUUGUCAGUAUCCCUCCGACAAUCCAAUGACCAGGAACCUUUUUUGGACAUUUGGUUAUGUGAAGAAGGUCUCUGUAGUCUAACAUCAUUAGAUUACUUCUUCAAUCGAUCCAUUGUCCAUGGAUACACUAUUUAGGACAUAUAUCAUUUAUUGAGAUAGUACUAAUUAGUAUCUUUGCCAUUUGAUGUAUAAGAGUCAUCCAUACAUCGAUUCAAUUGUCCUGAAAAGUUUCUUCCAAAGAUUGACUUUCAGGGCAUAUUUCCAACAUAAUCACCCAAAGAGAUGGCCUUCAUUCCUUGCAUCUUAAAUCUAUGGAUUUGGAUGGAUGAAAAGGUUUCUCCAAGUUCCCAA
rnacentral:lncRNA from 1 species